rnacentral:rRNA from 1 species
AUUGAACGCUGGCGGCAGGCUUAACACAUGCAAGUCGAGCGGGGACUUCGGUCCUAGCGGCGAACGGGUGAGGAAUGCUUGGGAAUCUGCCCAGUAGCGGGGGAUAACGUUUCGAAAGGAACGCUAAUACCGCAUACGCCCUACGGGGGGAAAGGGGGGGAUGUUCGGACCUCCCACUAUUGGAUGAGCCCAAGUCGGAUUAGCUAGGUGGUGGGGUAAAGGCCUACCAAGGCGACGAUCCGUAGCUGGUCUGAGAGGAUGAGCAGCCACACUGGAACUGAGACACGGUCCAGACUCCUACGGGAGGCAGCAGUGGGGAAUAUUGGACAAUGGGCGAAAGCCUGAUCCAGCCAUGCCGCGUGUGUGAAGAAGGCCUUCGGGUUGUAAAGCACUUUAAGCGAGGAGGAAUGGCUGAGGGUUAAUAACCUUCAGCAGUGACGUUACUCGCAGAAUAAGCACCGGCUAACUCUGUGCCAGCAGCAGCCGCAGUAA